ensembl:lncRNA
GUUUGGGAGCUGCAGGUGUGUCCAGGUGUGGGUUCGUUGGGUCAGCAGAGGAUUUAACGGGACUUUGUGUCGGUUUGAGUUGUUUUUAAAGGAGGAUGAAGACGCUGGUGGUGUUCCUGCUCCUCAUGAACGUUUCCCAGCAUGCUCUGACUAUGUUGUUAGAGGUUAACAAGGGGGUAGAGUCUGUCCUGCUGCCCUGCCAGUACUCCGGUAUUAUACCUGAGAUAAAUCCCAUUGUGAUGUGGACUCGCUAUGAUCUCAAUCCCAAAUCUGUCCACUUACAACGAGAAGGAGGAGAUGAUCUUGGAGAGCAAAACCAGCAUUACAGAGGGCGCACAUCAAUGAGGCCUGAUGCUCUGGACACUGGAGACUUCAGCCUCACUCUGAGAAACCCAGAACUGACUGACAGCGGCAACUACACCUGCUCCUUAGCUGAUAUAAAAGAAGAGCUGAGAUGGACGGAUAUACAGCUUGAGGUCAAAGACCAGCAGGUGGAGGUAAAGGUGGAGGAAGGCUCAGAGUCCGUCCUCCUGCCCUGCAAAACAAAACCCGACCUGCCCGAGGACACCAGAGUGGAGUGGACUCGCUCUGACUUGGAACUUCUAUUGGUCCAUGUGUAUUCAAACGGUGACCACAUUAAGAACCAGGAUGGUGUUUAUAGAGACAGAACAAGGAUGAAUGAAGACCUGCUGAAAACUGGAGACCUCAGUCUGACCCUGAAAUACCCCACAGAGAGAGACAGUGGAGGAUACAUCUGCACCAUCUACAGGGACAAAGACAUCCUGAGACAGAAAGUAGUGCUGCAGGUCAAAGAACCAUUUCCAUCCUGGGCCACAGCUCUCUUGGUUCUCCUGGUUCUUCUUGUGGUUUCUGGAGGUCUUUUAUUUCAUUUCCGACAGUAUUUCAUGUCAGUUUACAAGGUGGAGGUGGAGGAGGGGGUGAAGUCUGUCCAGCUGCCCUGCAAAACCACAGUUCACAUACCUGAAGAUGCUAAAGUGGAGUGGAGAAACAGUUAUGGGACAGUCCACGUGUAUCAAAACGGCUCUGACCAGACUCAAGAACAGCACCAGAUUUUUCAAAGCCGAACAAAUAUGAAGAGAAACCUGCUGAAAACUGGAGACCUCAGUCUGACCAUGAAAUACCCCACAGAUGGAGACAACUACACCUACACCUGCACCGUCUACAGCAGGGAGGGAAACAUCCUGAUGCAAAAAAAAGUGCUGCUCCAUGUCAGAGAUUGUCAGGUGGAGGUGGAGGAGGGGGCGGAGUCUGUCCAGCUGCCCUUCAAAACCACGCAAAACCUACCUGAGGAGGCUAAAGUGGUGUGGAAACGCAAAGAGCCUAAACCAGUGAUGAUGGUCCACGUGUAUCAGGACACCGCUGAUCAGCCUGAAGAACAGCACCAGGUUUACAGAGACAGAACAAAGAUGAAUGAAGACCUGCUGAAAACUGGAGACCUCAGUCUGACCCUGAAACACCCCACAGAGAGAGACAGUGGAGAAUACAGAUGUAGAGUCUACAGCGAGAUCAAGAGAUACAAAAGAGUGCUGCUCAGAGUCAGAGGGAGAGUUCAGGUCCAGGAUCAAACAGGGGACAUCAGGAACAGAAGCAGCUCCAUUGAUCCGACUCCUCUGAUGGCUGAUCAAUCAGUUUGAUCUGUGUGUUCUUUGAUUAUUGAUCAGUGAUGUCAGAGUGGAGUCAGUGUGAUGUUGUUGUUGUGUGUUUGAGACUUUUAGUGUCCAUGAAGGUCUCUGCUGCCGUAGAUCCUCUGAACUGUGACAGAGGUCUCACUCUGGAGGAAACUCUCAGCACUUUCCAGCAGCUCCUCCAUCAUGGAGGACGUUCCCUCACUGUAACAGGUGGAGGA